rnacentral:rRNA from 1 species
ACAGCAGCAGCCGCGGUAAUACGGAGGGUGCAAGCGUUAAUCGGAAUUACUGGGCGUAAAGCGCACGCAGGCGGUCUGACAAGUCAGAUGUGAAAUCCCCGGGCUUAACCUGGGAACUGCAUUUGAAACUGUCAGGCUGGAGUCUUGUAGAGGGGGGUGGAAUUCCAGGUGUAGCGGUGAAAUGCGUAGAGAUCUGGAGGAAUACCGGUGGCGAAGGCGGCCCCCUGGACAAAGACUGACGCUCAGGUGCGAAAGCGUGGGGAGCAAACAGGAUUAGAUACCCGAGUAGUCCCUGUCUCUUAUAC